UGGUGGAGUGAUUUGUCUGGUUAAUUCCGUUAACGAACGAGACCUCAGCCUGCUAAAUAGUUGCACGUAGAUUUUCUACGCGAUCAACUUCUUAGAGGGACUUUCGGUGGUUAGCCGAAGGAAGUUUGAGGCAAUAACA
rnacentral:rRNA from 1 species